UCGGGAAUAUUCCACAAUGGGCGAAAGCCUGAUGGAGCGACGCCGCGUGAGUGAUGAAGGUCUUCGGAUCGUAAAGCUCUGUUACCAGGGACGAAAAAAGACGGUACCUGGGGAGGAAGCCACGGCUAACUACGUGCCAGCAGCCGCGGUAAUACGUAGGUGGCGAGCGUUGUCCGGAAUUAUUGGGCGUAAAGGGCGCGUAGGCGGUCAUUUAAGUCAGGUGUGAAAGCCCCCGGCUCAACUGGGGAGCGUCAUUUGAUACUGGGUGACUAGAGUGCAGGAGAGGAAAGUGGAAUUCCAUGUGUAGCGGUGAAAUGCGUAGAUAUAUGGAGGAACACCCGUGGCGAAGGCGGCUUUCUGGACUGCAACUGACGCUGAGGCGCGAAAGCUGGGGGAGCGA
rnacentral:rRNA from 1 species